rnacentral:misc_RNA from 1 species
GGAACGAUGGGGACGAUUGGUCCCUCUUGAAGUGGUAUAUGAUGUGUCUGGAUAGUAAUCCGGUGUUAACGAAGUCUUUAACAACCGCAUUGCUGAAUUUGAUUGGGGAUUUAAUUUGCCAGCUUUUGAUCGACAAGGUGUCAAAAUUGGACGUGAAACGGACGUCUAUGUUUACUUUUUUGGGAUUUGUGCUGGUGGGCCCUACGUUGCACUUUUGGUACCUAUCUUUGAGUAAAUUGGUUACUUGGCCUG